UCCUUAUAAAUUUUAUAUUGUAUCGUAUAUUUCUCAGUAAUAAAAAUAAUAAAUUUAUAAUAAAUAUAUUGUUUGACGAACGAUGUACUUAAGGUAACGUUAUGCGCAUGCGCGGCGCGAACUAUUCAACAGUCACGAAGUGGACAACAUCGCCAUGUUUGUUCGACUGACCACAUCAGCUCAAUAUGGAAUUUGUAUCGUCCUCGUUAAUUACAAAUAAUUAGUAUAUUUUUUUUCUAACGUACAAUUCUUCCUUAUACAUCAAUCGAUUCCUUGUAACGUGUAUUUCUAACGUGCAUUGUUCGCAAGUCGUGAUAAUGUCGCAUUAAGAAGAUAUUCAUGAAAAUAAAAUCAGCGUCUUCGAAUUGUCCAGUAGCCGGUGUAAUGGGAGAAAGGAGAGGGGAGAGCUAUUGGGUACCGGAAGUGACGUAUCGGUGAACGAACUACGUAGUCCACUUUCGUAUUUUGACCUGCUCGCCAUUUUGAACACGCUGACAAGACUACAACGACGGUGCUUCGUCGUUCCGCAUAAUUACAGAUUUCCAAGAAUUGUACGCGAGACAGAACAGAAAUACUAAUUUCUUAUAUAUACAUACUUCUCCUUAGUCAUACGUAUAGCUUUCAGAAGUUAAAAGAAGAGAAUCGAAUGCGUUUUAUUAAACGAGAAAUCAAGAAGUGCAGACAGAGAGAGACAGAGAAAGAGAGAAAGAGAGAGAAAGAGAGAGAGAGAGAGAGAGAGAGAGAGAGAGAGAAAUAGAGAACAUGUUAACAAAGCUCGUUAACGAGAUAACGGCCUAAACUAGUGACAGAUGCAUGUACACGCAUACGCACUUAGAAAUGAACCGUAUUAAGGAUAUAACAUGAACGGAAGGUACGUAAUUAAUUGCUUAGUAUGGUAAGCAAAAAAGAAAGAAAAGUUUUUUACCAAGUAUGAAAUAAAGAGAGAGAGAGAGAGAGGAAGGGAAAGAGAUAACGAUAGAAUUUAAGGAACAAUUUUUGCAAUAUCGCAAUACCGAAGACGUAAUGUUUUCCAUGUAAUGACAAAGUACAGUACACUUUUUCCUCGUUGCGGAACGACACUCGUAGCCGCAAGAAAGCAAACGCGGAAGCGUUGACCCUUUACGUGCAUAUAAGAGAGAAAGAAAGGAAGAGAGAGAGAGAGAGAGAGAGAGAGAGAGAGAGAGAGAGAG